rnacentral:rRNA from 1 species
ACGUGGAGCAUGUGGUUUAAUUCGAAGCAACGCGAAGAACCUUACCAGGUCUUGACAUCCUUUUGAAUGGUCUAGAGAUAGAUCAGGCCUUCGGGACAGAAGAGACAGGUGGUGCAUGGUUGUCGUCAGCUCGUGUCGUGAGAUGUUGGGUUAAGUCCCGCAACGAGCGCAACCCUUAUCAUUAGUUGCUAACAUUCAGUUGAGAACUCUAAUGAGACUGUCAGUGAUAAACUGGAGGAAGGUGGGGAUGACGUCAAAUCAUCAUGCCCCUUAUGACCUGGGCUACACACGUGCUACAAUGGGCGAUACAGAGUGACGCGAAGCCGCGAGGUGGAGCAAAUCGCAGAAAAUCGCUCUCAGUUCGGAUUGGAGUCUGAAACCCGACUCCAUGAAGGUGGAAUCGCUAGUAAUCGCGCAUCAGCAUGGCGCGGUGAAUACGUUCCCGGGCCUU